UGCAUAUCCCAAAAAGCGGAGGAAAAGAAACCAAUUGGCAUUGCCUCAGUAACGGCGAGUGAAGCGGCAACAGCUCAAAUUUGAAAUCUGGCCUCUUGGGGUCCGAGUUGUAAUUUGUAGAGGAUGUUUCGGGUACCGCCUCGGUUUAAAUUUCUUGGAACAGAAUGUCAAAGAGGGUGAGAAUCCCGUCUUGGACCGGCGGUAGGGCCUAUGUGAAACUCCUUCGACGAGUCGAGUUGUUUGGGAAUGCAGCUCAAAAUGGGUGGUAAAUUUCAUCUAAAGCUAAAUAUUGGCCAGAGACCGAUAGCGCACAAGUAGAGUGAUCGAAAGAUGAAAAGCACUUUGAAAAGAGAGUUAAACAGUAUGUGAAAUUGUUGAAAGGGAAGCGCUUGCAACCAGACUUGAGCGCGGCGGUUCCCCCUUGCUUCUGCUUGGGUUACUCCGCCGUGUCCAGGCCAACAUCGGUUCUGGGGGUCGGUCAAAGGCUCUGGGAAUGUAUCUACCCACGGGUAGACUUAUAGACCAGGGUGUCAUGCGACCUCCCGGGACCGAGGAACGCGCUUCGGCUCGGAUGUUGGCGUAAUGGUUGUCAGCGACCCGUCUUGACCCCACGGGACC
rnacentral:rRNA from 1 species